UGCCGCCUCUCCCCCCUCCACUGUCGGCUCCACCCUGGAGUCGAACGGGGGCCGCUUCUCUGCUGUUCUGCUCCCCCUGGAGCAAACACAAAAGCAAAGACCAACUUUACUUUGAAGGUAAGUAUUUACCUAACGUUCCUUUCCUUCAGGCUUGUAGCGGGAGUGCCUGACUCCCGCUGCCGCUGUUGCACUGCUGGCGUAAUGCCGCGCAUGCGUGCUGAGCGGGUUCUUCACGUAGUCACUCACGUGACUCCGAAGUAAAAUCCUGCAGUUGUGAGGUCAGAUCCGAGGCUGGUUAUAACUGAGCAAGUGAUUAACCUAUCACAUGGUAAACUCUUCCGAUCAUCUACAAGUUGUGAGAUCAGGAGCAUUGUGGGAUCACUCUGCUUUCCUGGAUGAGUGCAGGUCCAACACUCUGGAAUGCAUUCAGGAUGUUGCAGCCCAGUUCAGUUGCAGCCCACUCCCCACCCUGAAGAAUCCCUCUCUCCAUCACACGCAACCCAUGGCUAUUGUGUGUGCCAUCCGCAAAAUGGAUUCAAUGGAGUAAAUGAUGAGAAGCUUUUCACAGAGACUGGUUACAGACACUGCAGGAGAACAAUGUGAAAAUCUGGGACCUUCACGAACUUCUCAAUGCGUGGAAAUUAUUGUUUAAUGAAUCAGAGGUGCGGUGAUGAAGUGAUUUCCCUCAGCGGGUGUCCCCCAGCUGGCUGAGGUGAUGAGGUAGCAAAUGCUGCAGCACAUCACUUUGUGAAUUCCAGUUACUGAGCUCUCUGUCAGGGAGCAGGAGCACGGACUAGAAGAUGGACAUCUGAGAUCAUUGGCAAACGGGGCAGAGGGGACAGGAGGAAUCAGUUUUGUUUAGGAAGUUGUCAUGAUCUGAAACUCACGGACUGAAAGGCUGGUGGAAGCAGAGUAAAAAAUAACUUUCAAAGGAUUUGGCCGAAUGUGUGAAGGAACAAUUUCCAGUGGUUUGGGGGAAAGAGCAGGAGAAUUGUGCUAAAGGGAUCACACGAUCAAAGAGAUGGCACAGAUUGGAUGGGGCAGGACUGCUCUCCAGCUGGUGUGAGGAUGGUUCAGUUGCCUGAAAACAGCUGGGAAGACACUUCCUGAAUCUGGAGGUACGGGUUUUCAAACUAGAGAUGAGCAGGUGAAUCUGAAUGACACAUACAGCUGGUGAAGCUGAGAGGAAGCGGUGAGGGUUAAUCACAACAGGUUCUGUCUGGAAGGUGUGUAAGUAGAAGGGGGUGACUAGUGAUAGGGGCGACCGAGAACAAAACAUCAUCAUAGCUGUGGAAUACAAUUCACUGCGUUUGCUGCUCGUGUUAAAUACCGAGCAUGUCAGACAGUAUCUGUGGUGGGAGGAAGCAAGAGUUGACGAUGCCACACCAAUCUUUACUGUGGCACAUGGGCUCAUGGGGCUGGUGGAGGUGACAUUGACAGAGAGUUGUCUAAAGGACAGAAACCAGAGUUAAGAAUAAACUGUCCUAGGAUGGCAGAACGUUACGUGGGAAGCCAUAAGAAUCAGCAGUGGCCUUCAGCUUUUUACAAAAUAUAUUGAAGCCUUGGAUUUAAAGACAGAGUGUAUAUUGUUUACUUAUGGUGCAAGGGUGGGAGAGAGGGUGAGAUGUGAAGAGAUGCAAAGAGAAUGCAAGUGGUAGUGAAAGGUGAAGCAAGUGGGCAAGAUGGUGGCAGGUGUUGUUAAAGGUAAUGUUAUUCUUGUGGUGAAAUGUUGUUCAUGUACAUGCCAAAGUUCAAAUAUUUCUGGACUGUUAUUGUUUUCAAACACUUUAUGCAAACUGGUAAAAACACACCGUGGGUAAAUUUUAUGUUGAAAUAUUGUCGGCUCAAACAGCAAAGUACUGGUUAGUGAAGUCAAAAACAAUGCUGAUGGUGAAAAAUGUGCUGACACAGAAUUGUGUUUACCACUGGCAAGGUGUGAAAGGCAGAGCACUAACUGAGACAGUGGUGUUGUGCUGGAAGUUGACGGACAGCCUGGGCCAGAACAACUGCAUUCAAUCGAUCAGCAACGCACUAAUGAAGGAUGCCCUUGAAACAAGUAAAUGAAGCUCUCGGAAUGUUGUAAAAACUCAACUUUUCAGUGAAGUUCCUUUGGAUGGAACAUGCUGGUCAUCGCUGCUCUGACAAUUGUGUGACUAAACUCUCACUAAUACGUCCCUUUAACAAAUGUCCUCAGAAGUGAUCAGGAAACACACAGGAAUAUCUCAAAACUUUGCACCUGCACAUCUCCCAGCAACAGGUUUUGGCAACAAAUCCCAUUUUAUCAUCCAUACUCAUAUCACUAUAUGGAAAUGACCACAGCUCAGGUGUUAGAGAGAAAAACAUCACAUCUGGUGUCAGAUAUGAGUUACACUGAAACAGGAUAUGCAAAUCCCCUGGACUUCAACAAUCUGAGAUCUAUCUUGGUUUUGUUAAACCAGUUCAGCUUCUGAAGAGUGCUACAAUUUUCAUGUAAUUUCUAAAAUUGAACAGUGUUGUAAAGAUAGCUAAAGCAAAUACAGCUUGGAAAAAAUACUUUUAACUAACAUCAGUCACUUCCAUGGGUCUCUCUCUCUCUCUCCUGCCCUCCACCCAACAUUCUCUACAAUCAAAAACUUGUUAAGUUACUACAGCUUUCCAGUUCUAAUUAAUAUUUACUCCAGUGUGAACUCUGUCUUUCCCCCUGGUGAUGCUGUGUGCCCUGCUCUGUAUUUCCAAAAUGUUAAUUCUGUAUUUCCAGCAUCUGCAAUAUUUUCCUUCCAGCACACCACCAACAUUGCUCGAUUUGCUGAACAACCUCUCCAGGAGCAAAGACAAGCUGCUGGAGAACCCAGGAGGUCAGACAGCCUCUGUGGGGGCAAAGGUAUAGACAAUGUCUGAAGAAGGUUCUCGACCCGAAACGUCUCCCAUUCCUUCUCUCCAGGGAUGCUGCCUGUCCCACUGAGUUACUCCAGCAUUUUGUGUCUACCUUUGAUUUUCCAGCAUCUGCAGUUCCUUCUUAAACAACAGACUAUCCAGUCUCCUCAUAUCUGUCAUGCUCUGACCCAAGCAUCGUCCUGGAGAAUCGUCUCUGCUCCCGAUCACCUUUCCUACAGUGUGGUGAUCAAAACCAGUGCAUGGUGCUCCAGCUGUGGUCUAACUGAUGUUUUCUGCAGCUGUGCCGUAAAGCUACACGGGGCUCAGUACCUCGGUUGUGGGGUGUAAAUGCCAUUUGCUCGAUCUCUCGGUUCCAUCACUUUGCUGAUGAUCAAACUGGACUGAUUGGCUGCUGAUAGCUGAUUGGAUUGAUCCUGCCUUUUGAGAGCUGGACUAACCUGGGCCAUUCUCCACAUUGAGGGUGGGUGCCAGUCUAGUCACUGAACUGAAACCAAUUGGUCCGAGGUGCAGCUACUUCUAAGCUCAGGUAUUCAGGACCACGGCUGAAAUGUUGUCUGGUCCUGUAGCCUUUGCUGUAUCCAGUGUUCUCAGCCGGUUCUCCAUCCUUCCUGGAAAAGACCAACCAAUCCGUCUGCUCCCAAUCAAAGUGUCAGCAGGAGUCGUCCACAUUCCUCACACACAGGAAAUGGCUGUGGCCAUUGGAAGUCUAACAUCCCAGCCCCAGGACCUCACUGCAAUAGCUGCUCAGGACAGUGACCUGGACACAGAUACCUUCUCCUGCUCCGUCAAUGACCUUCCUCGCACCAAGCACCAAGAACGACAUUAGACGACCCCGGGAUGAUAAAUGGCAAGUUGCGUUUGCUCCAGACAAGUAGCAGACUUUGACCAUUUCCAUCCUGUGAGUGUCUAACACCCACAACCUCUCAUUCACUGGCAUUGCCAAUGCUGUUUCUCAUAUCUUCAACAUCUAAAGUUCAAAUUGACCAGAAAGACAACUGCAUCAGCGACAUAAAUAUAAUAGCAGCAAAGGCAAUCACAAGCUGGGUACCUUGAAGCUACUGACUCAACUUGCGACUCCCAAAGUCUUUCUAUUAUCUCGAUGGUACAAGAUGCAGUGAUGGGACAGAUCUGAUCUCCAGCCUAAGGAUGGAUAUUCUUGUGUUCGUAAGAACACAGUGAAGGUUCACUAUUGAUUCUUGAGGUGGCGGUUUUGUAAUUUGAGCAGAUUUGACAAUUACCCUUUGGGUUUGAGGAAAGGGAUCUGAUCUCAUUAUGAAAACAAUACGUUUGCAAGGGUAGAGGUGAAUCUUUCUUUCUACCCCUGCCUGGGGACUUUUAAAUCAGGAGUCACAGCCUUAAACGAGGAGUCACCAGUCAGGACAAGACUGAGAGGUUUCUUCACCCAGGAAGUGAAUCUUUACCAUUUUCAUCCCAUGGAUAUUUAGUAACUCAGCUUGUUUAGGAACAAAGAUCUACAGACUCUUUAGUGUUACGUGAUGAGUGACUAGUGCAGGAACAUAAUGCCAAGGUGAAUAUAAAUAUCAGCUGUGAUCUUAUUGAAUGCUGAGCAGGUUUUAGGGACUACAUGGACCACUCAUGUUUCUUUUGUAUCUGCUUAUAUUGUACAGGGUAGAGAUCAGGAGUGGGACGGAAUACUCUCCACUCUUCUGGAUGAGUGACACGCCAACGUUACUUUGGAAACUCGGCAGAAACAAACACACAUCAGCCCACUGAGACGGACCCAUCAUUACCCCAAGCAUUCACCCACUCCAUCCUGGCUGUUCUAGUGCCAUCUACACAUGUUACUGCAGGACUCUGCCACAGAGAUCAGUACAGGAUCAGCAGUUGAUUGUCAUAGACAUUAACAAUUUGGAUGAGUACAGGUGGCAUGAUGAGUAGUUUAAUAAAUGAUACCAAGAUUGGUGUUGUGAUAGACAGUUUAGAAGGUUGCCUCAGGAUAGAACUGUAUCUAGAUCAGAUGGGAAAGUGUGUGGAGUAACGGCAGAUGAAAAUUAACUUGGACAAGUGUGCAGUGUUGCAUUUUGUUCCUUUAAACCAGGGUAGGACUUACACAUUAAAUGGUUUGGCUCUGGAGAGUGCUGUAGAACAUAGAGAGUACAAGAGGCACAUUUACACAGGUCCUUGAAAGUGGCGACUCAGCUGGACAGGGAUGGUGAAGAAGGCGGAUGGCAUGUCUGCCUUCAUCACUAGGGUGUUGACUGCAAGAGUUAAAAUGCUAGAACCUGUUUCAAAGGUCAUACAUUUAAGGCAAGAAGGGGAAGAAGUUAAAAUGAACCUGAGAGGCAAGUAGUUCACACAGAGGGUGGGUGGUAUAUGGAACGAGCUGCCUGAGAAAGUGGAAGAGGUGGGUACAAUUAUAAUAGUUAAAAGAUAUUUGAACAGAUACUUGGACAGCAAAGUGUCCUGAGAUAUCCCUCAGGUAUGGCCAAAUGGAGGCAAACAUAUUUGCUCAGGUGGGCACUUUGAGCAGCAUGGACUAGUUGGGCCGAAGGGCCUGUUUCUGUGUUGUGUGUCUCUGCGACUCUCAGUGCAAGUGUUCCGACUGAAUUAGCUAUUAUUCUAAUGGUUUGUUCUGAACAAACCAUUAGAAUAAUAAAUUUGUCUUAGAUGUAUUGUUUAAUCUUAUGAUUAAUAAAAUAUCAGAGAGCAAUGGUGUUGUAGCUGGAGAUGAUUCCCGUGCAAUGAUGGACCAAUUAUUGGGAAUGAGAUCUCCUGAGGAGAUUAUUUCACUCUCCUCUCUCCACCCUGCUUCCUCAAGUCACAAAUAUCCAUGGGAGCCACUAGUUUAGUUUUUUAUUACUGUCACAUGUACUGAGAUACAGUCUAGAGCUUUCUUGUUGCCGGCUAUCCAGUCAGCAAAAACACUACACAGUAAACCCUCAGUUUUACAGACCUCUUUAUAACCGUUUUUGGUAAUUGCGGACAGACCUACCAAAUUUCACCGUGCCCAACGACACCAGCCUCCGCUGGAUCCUUGGCUGUGCUUGUCGACACCAACACCAGCCCACAAACCUUCUCGAGCCACACCUAGUGCCGCAGCCACCACCGCCUGUAUUACUGUAUUGAGACAUUGGAGAUUUGUCGCUUAGGGGUAGGGAAGGAUUUGUUUUAAUGUUUCAGAUUUUAAAAAGCACCUCGGUCUGUGCAGGUCUUGCUAAGCCUAACUUUUAUUGUUGGGUCUCUACACGUGAAAUGGCAAAACAGAACAUUUCAGCAGUAUCCUGAAAACCUACUGGACCAGCCACAUUGAUUCUGUGUCUCUAAGGGCAGGUCACAGACUGGGGAUAUCUCAGCGAAUGAUUCACCUUUGAUGCCAAACUCUUCUCAUCACCUACAAGUUGUGAGGUCAGGAACAUUGUGGAAUCCCUCUGCUUUCAACACUCUGCAUUCAGGAUAUUGCAGCCCAGUUCAUUGGCAGCCCGCUCCCCACCCUGAAUAUUCUCUCUCUCCACCAGAGGCAAACCAUGGCUAUUGUGUGCACCAUCCCCUUAAUGGAUUCAGUGAAGUAAAGGAUGCAAAACUGUUUCCGUGUCCGUGUUCACAGACACUACAGGAGAACGAUGUUGUGGAAAUUUGGGACCUUCACAAACUUCUUAAUGUGCGGAAAUAAUCAUCUAAUGAAUCAGAGGUGAAGUGAUGAAGUGCUAUCCCUCAGCGAGUGUCUCCCAGCUCCAUGAAUUCCAGUUACUGAGCUCUCUGCCAGGCAACAGCAGCACAGACUAGAGGAUGGAAAUCUGAGAUCAUUGGCAAAUGGGGCAGACGGGACAGGAGGAAUCAGUUUUGUUCAGGAAGUGGUCACAAAAUGUUUUGGGAACAAGAGAAAAUCCAGAGAAAGAAAGGGCCAUUUGGCCCAUCAAUCCCACCCCACUGGAGAUCCUGUGGAUUCCUUCCCACAUCAUGUUCCUGCAGGCAUCUCCCUCAGCUGUGCCUGGAAAUGCAACAAGCAUCAAGCAGUCCAUUAUCUCCCCAUCCUUCCAUGUUCCUUCUGGCCAGACUUCACUCCCGCACCUUGUUAAAAAGUGGCCAAGAUGCAAAAUUGAACCGGUUCCUUACAAAUGGAUUACAAACUUUCCUGAGUCAGUGAUGGAGGGGGACCUUCCACCCUGAUGGGAAAAGGAGAGGAAACAUACCAGAGUGAGUAAAGGAAUUAGUGAGGUGUUCUGGGUCAAUAAUGUUGUUUUUGAAGAAUUUGUCUAAACGUUACAUCUUAAUUGUUCCUGUUGAUAAUAUUCAUUAGACCCUAAUACCAUAAACACAUAAUGGGGCCAUAAAUACUUUCUACAGUUUCCAUUCCUCAGUGUUCAGAUACAGUGCCACAUUCUACAGUCACACUUGGAGCUCACAAGACAUUUCUGUGACUUCCUGUUCAUCUUGUUCUAAUCUGUCAGUCAGUGAUUGGUCAGCAGGAGUUUUACAUAGAUUGCUGCAGCCAAUUGAGUUUGAUUCCAAUGGUUCCAAAAGCCUCCAAGAUGCCAGAACUACACGUAUAUAAGGAUGCAACAGCAUUGGAAACCUCAUCGACACAGAGAGCUGGGAGAGAGAGAGGUUCGAGGAAGGAAACAUGAUGCUGGUGUGGGUUUUGGUGCUGACCACACUGCUUGCCAGUGAUGUGGCAGAGACGACCGAUUCCUUGGAACCGGAGGUGACUCAGCUUCACCUUGAAAAACGUGGCUUAGUCAAUGGACCGUGUGCUGAAAAUUGGUUUUAUUAUCCUGCCUUAAGUUCCUGUUACCGGUUUUUCCCUCAAGAACUGACAUGGUUAGAUGCUGAGACGUUCUGCAAUCUGCAACAAAGUUACGGACAUCUGGCUACCGUGGCCUUGAGCGAUCAAAACACAUUCAUUAACAACGUGAUUGGUACAGUGAGCAAAGCACAUGCUUGGAUUGGCCUAAACGACAGUCGCAAGGUACAGUUAACAAUGACACGUUCACAUGUCCUGUGAACAAAACCAGCCAACAUUUCCAUUAAUUCUGCACGAUCCUCUCUGCAGUCGGGUUACAGUUAAUCCCUCUCCUGAAAAGGAAUUAUUUUUGUUCCCAAAUGUGAAAAUGGAUCAAGGCUGAUGUGCAGAGUGAAGUCACAGAGCAGCUGUGAAGGAAUCUGACAAUGAGAAUUUGUUUUUUAGUAACGGACCCAGUGGGCCGAAGGGGCUGUUUCUGCACUGUAUCCCUAAACUAAACUAAAGUACUGGAGUUAGAGGAAGGUACAGUGUGACACGGCACAUAAAUAAAUAUCUGAACAGACAGGAAAGCGAAAGGAAUGUCCAAAGAUUCAUUUCAAAAUGAUUCCAACACAGAAACAUUUUGCUCAACCUCUAUAUAUUCUGGUUAGAGUGGACAUGCUGUACUGUGUCCUGGGCGUGGCGAGCAGGUGGAGAUCAGAAGAAUGUAAUCGUGGCAGAGAGCACAGAUUAGAUGGCGAAAGGAACAGGAAGGGAGGGGGAAGGCUGGUGUGGAGCAGCAACAGUAGCACGGAUCCAUGGGCCGAGUGGACUGUUUCUGUGCUCCACGUAUAAGGGAACACCCUAAUUCUACAAACACUGGGUGUAACGCUACAGAUAUUGGAAUGUGCACUGGUGUAAUAUCCCCAGAUUUAGACAUGACAUUGGUUGCAGAAGUUCCAGCUCCAGAGAUUCCAGACUCUGCUCCCCUUGUGUGAGGUCCAUGGAAUGGUGAGGGCUGGGUUUACCUCUGACUGCACAGGUGUGUUGUCCAGCCCACACAGGGAGUUCCAGCCCAGGGUGAGCCCAGACACUUCAGUCUGGGACAGUCCAAACCCCCGUGAAUAUUGCGGGCUUCAGGUUUCAGCAACACACACUCUGGCUGCACCUGGGACCUCCACAGGAAGUGACUCCCUUUAUUUAUGAGGUAAACUCACCGAUCAAGAGUCAGGGAACAUUAAUGGCUCACAGACUCUGACUCAAAUAGAUGAAACAUUUAGACCAGGUAGAAAACAGAAAAUGCUGGUAACACUAAGCAGGUCAGGCAGCGUCUGUGAAGAGAGGAACAAAGAAACAUAUUUCAAUCAAUGAACGUUCUGUUUCCUCUGCACAAAUGCUACCUGACCUAUUGUGUAUUUCAAGGAUUUAUUUCAGAUUUCCAGUAUCUGCUCCAUUUGCUUGUAGACUAACAGGUGUAAGUUAUUGGGGGCAAAUCCUCCAAAAUUAUGGAAGAACUCGGAUAAGGACAUGGAUAUUUUAAAAGACAGAUUUGCUGGCUGCAACGGAAAAAACCCCAAUCCACAUAAAAAAGAAGCAGUUUCAAGUUUCAAACCUGUCUGGCCUGUGGACUUGGGCAUCACACAACUGUGCGAAUGGCGUGGACAGGGAAGGCUGAGACGGAGAUAACGAGAUUAUCUUGGAUACACAAAGGAAGGAACCAAGCCUCAGCGGACGGUGGUAAACAGGCCAGCACAAGCACAAUCACCAUCUUGGAUGACCCAUCCAUCGAGACAAGAGGAGCCCAUCCAGGCCAUGGGAUAACGAUCAGGCUGAGGGAUCAUGACAUCAGCAAACCCCUUAUCAUCGGAAGCCUAUUGUUCAUGCCAGAUCGAAACUGGGAAUCAUCAAAAGAACCCUUUUAUCCAGAGGACCACCUGGGGGUUUCAAAGAAAGCUCAGGUAUAUAAACAGGAGUCAAGCCAGAACUCUUUCUCUUUCUGCUCUGCUGGACAGCUCGUGGGCCUGCAUCGACCUAAGCUGUGAGUUUCCCGGUGACCUGGUGAAAUUCCCGAAAUAGAAUAGAGGUUGAGAAAAUAAAGGGAAAGGGGGGUAAAAUUGUGUAAAGUAAGUUUUACGACGUGCCCGAUAGUUUUCCGUCCAUGGUCUUAGUUUAAAGCAUAGGUUUAGCCACGUAUUAUGUAGCGUUGGUGAGAUUCGAUUUCUCAUUGUUUAAUAAAGCCUGUAAAUUUUAGACUUGCUUUGAGUCCAUCUUGGUUUCUGUUUUCUCUCAUCAGCACACUCUGGUCAAUUCAACCCUUUUAUCAUAUCCCACCAUAAUUCUGAGGUCUAGAACCUAGGGGAAUCCCUUUUGUUGUAUUCUCUCUCUUGGAAACCGCUCGAGUGGAGUGGUGGCCGUUUGACCCUCCGACAAGGGAGAGAAUAACUCGGGCAGUUGGGCCCGAAGUGGAGUAAAGGGAAACACAAAACCCCUACACAGGUAAAUGCUUUUCUCUUUUCCUGCUUCUAGAUGAUGGAUCUUGGAAUGAUUUGCCCUGUGAUGCAAAAGUUGGUUUUAUUUGUUCCUACAAACUGCGCUAUGAUUAGAAGACUCCAGAAUGAUCCCCUCAUCCUUUCCAGCAGUGGAUCCAAUGCUUUGAUUUCUUUGUAGCAGCUCUCACUGUCUGUGGUGACUGUACUCACUGAGCUUCUUAGCCAAUAAUAAAGAGAACUGCAUCAUGAGCUGUGUGUUUGGUGCUGUGUGAGUCCAGUUUCUCGCAGCCUUCCUGUCCCACUGUUGCUUCCUCCCCACCUCUGCACUCAGUGCUGCGCUGAGGAGAAGGCGGCACAGACUUUACACAAUGAACUCUUGUCCUUCGGCCGCACCUGGUGUGUUGGGUCCCGGACACCGCACCUGGGAGAGAAAUAAAGGCUGUGGAGAGGAUACAUGGGGGGUUAGUGGGAUAGUUGCAGGGAGAGAGCUUUCACAGUCCUGUGGGUGAGCUGCAGAAGAUGAACUGGGACCAGAAAUUCCUCAGCACAUCUGUAAGAAAACCACUGCUGUAAGUUUAUAAAUCAGCUCAACAGGGUGGUGGGCAAUUUCCCCACAAUUCUGGCUGGAGUACAAAUUCGCGUUGGGGUCCCACCUCCCGCAUCCUCAUAGUUGCCUGGCCAAGCGCAUGAAUCGGACACAACCUGCAGCAGGAACAGGCCAGCGGAACAGCGGUGGUGGACAUUGUCAACAUUGCCUGGCCAGUCUGACCCCUGCAACUUCAAAUAGUGCUGCCGCCAGGACAAUGGGCCUUGCAACCCACCUCCCACAACUUACCCCCUUGAUCAUCCCACACAAGUGUUAAACCUGUCCUUCUCAAUGAUCUUCUCUCCUUCAAUUCAUGCCCUGAGCCCCCUUUACUGCCCGAGUAUUCAGAAUGGACAUGUGGGGUGAAAUGUAACUGAGGAGAAAGAGGACAUUUCAUUGUUGUUUCAGAGGAAGCUGUUGAUACAAGUUGACCGUUUGAACAGCUUCAAUCCAAAUGCAUUCUGCUGCUAAAUCCUGGAUUUAUAAAAUAUGUCAGGAGCAUAGUUCGGUCUGUGGGAACAGGGGAUAAAUGCAGCAGUACAAAAUGUCUCUUGAGUAAAACACAAAUGCUGGAGGAACUCAAGGGUUCAGGCUGCAUUUUUGGAGGGAAAUGGACAGAUGAUAUUUUUGGUUGGGACUGUUCUUCAGUCUGAUUGGAGAAGACAUUAGAAAGCUCUGCUCCAUUAGCCCGUUGUGUUUGAUCCGCCAUUUCCUUUCUCUUCUUGUGAAGACAGUGAUGCAGGGUUCAAACCCUCCCGUGUGUUUCCACUUCACUCUCAGUGUGUCUCACUGAGCUGCUGAAUCACACUGAGGUUGCAUUUAGAAUAUUGUGUUCAGUUCUCAGCACCAUGCUAUAGAAAAUAUGUUGUCAAGCUGGAAAGGGCACGGAGAAUAUUUACGCGAAUGUUGCCAUCAUCAGGGGGUCUGAGCUAAGGGGAGAGGCUGAGCAGGCUGGGACUUUAUUCUUUGGAGCACAGGGGUGAUGAUCUUCUAGAGGUGUAUAAAUCAUGAGAUGAAUAGUUUGGGUAGCUGUGCAGUCUCUUGCCCAGAGUAGGUGAAUCGAGGACAAGAGGACAUAGUUUUAAGGUGGAAAUAUUUAAUAGGAAUCUGAGGGGAAAAAUGUUCACACAAAGCUGGUGGGGUGAUGGAACAAGCUGUCAGAGGAGGCAGUUGAGGCAUGGACUAUUUACCUUUAAGAAAGAGUUAGACAGGUACAUGGAUAGGACAGGUUUGUAGGGAUAUAGGCCAAAUGCGAGCAGGUUGGACUAGUGUAGCUGGGACAUGUUGGCCCAAAGGGCCUGUUUCCAUGCUGUAUCACUCUAUGAUUAUAGUGAAUCUCCAAACUCUGUGUGACACUAAACUUUCAACAAAUGCUUGUCAUUUAACAAAUGUCCUCAGUGGAUAUAAAAAAAGGCGCAAUAAUAUCUCAAAACUUUGCAAGUGCACAUCUCUCAGCAAAACUCAUGUCACCAGAUGGAAAUGAAUGGCACGGUAGGCGCAGCGGUAGAGUUACUGCCUCAUAGCGAAUGCAGCGCCGGAGAUCCGAGUUCGAUUCCGACUAAGGGUACUGUCUGUACGGAGUUUGUACAUCGUCCCCAUGACCUGCGUGGGAUUUCUUCAAGAUCUUCGGUUUCCUCCCAUACGCCAAAGACGUGCAGGUAUGUCGGUUAAUUGGCUUGGUGUAAAUGUAAAAAUUGUCCCUAGUGUGUGUAGGAUAAUGUUAAUGUGUGGGAAUUGCUGUUCGACACGGACCUGGUGGGACAAAGGGCCUGUUUCCGCGCUUCAUCUCUCAACUAAAAAUCUAAACUAAACAACUUGGGUUUAAGAGAGAAAAAACAAUACAACUGCUUUCAGAAGAGUGCUACACAAAAACUGAUGCAAAUUACCUAUCUAUCAACAAUCUGUCUUGAUCUAUCUUGGUUUUAUCAUACCAGUUCGGCUUCUGAAGUGUGCUAUUGUUUUCAUUUAAUUUCUACAAUGGAACAAUGUAGUAAAGAUAGCUAAAGCAAAUACGCUGGGAAAACUUUACAUUAAACAAAUGCCCAAGGGUCACUCUCCCUCUCCCAUGCCCUCCUCCCAACAUUCUCUAUGAUCAACAACAUAUUCAGUCUAUGCCUCUUUCCAGUUCCAAUGAAUAUUUACUCCAAUGUAAACUAUGUCUUUCCACUGGUGAUGUUGUGUGACCUGCUGUGAAUUUCCCCAAAAUCUAUUUCUGCACUCCAGCAUCUGCAACAGUUUCUCCCAUGGACAGGGCAACAUUGCUCAUUUUCCUAAUUAACCUCUGCAGGUGUAAAAACAAGCUGCUGGAGGUACUCAGUGGGUCAGGCAGCAUCUAUGCAGGCAAACGUAUAAUCGACUUUUCAGGUCUUUAAACCUGCAUCAACGCCCCUGGACAUUGCUAAAGUCUUCCUCUGGUCAGCAUUAUGAUUGCUUCAGUCUUUAGUGCUGAUAAAACCAAUGGUGCCAUCCAGAGGACAAACACAGGACCAGUUCCCUUCACCUUCAAACCGGCAUCUUCACCCCUCCAAUCAAAUACCAUUCCUUGACCCUCCCUGCAAACUACCCUGUGUUAUACGAUAAGUUUGCCCACACAGUCUGUGACCCAUAGCGCUGUGGCCAUAGGGCUAUGUUUAAAGUUCAUAGCGCUGUGGCUGUUAGUGCUAUAUUUAGAACCCACAGGUGAGAGAUCUUUGUUUAAAUCCCCACAAGCCAAGCGGACACCGCUCUGUUUAAACCUUUGCGCGUCAAUCCGGCAGUGCCCUGUGAAUUACCUUUACGCACCAAGUCUGUAUCAAAGGUACUAGAGGAGCAAGAUGCGCCACUCAGCGAAAAACGCGUAGUAUGACGUGUGUGAUUGUCAAUGCCAUUUUACCGGACUGCCCCCGCACUGUCAUGGCGUCCACAUCUAUAGCUCAGUGUAAAUUGCUCUAAUCGCCGAUGCUGACAACUCAACCUGUCUUUCUUCAGGUUCGGAGGAGUUGUCUAUCUUGCUCCUCUAGGAUCUUUGGUCUGUAUAUUGCUUUACCCGCAAGUCUGCGGUUGAAAGCACUUUGUUCCCAAAGGGUGGGGGGGAGGUGGGGUUGGGGAGGUGAGGUUGGGCACGCAUGCGUGCAGUCCCACCAUUGGUUAUAGAUUGUAUUUGGGAGCAGCGCCAGGACUUACCAGCGAUUAUUUCAACGGCUGAUUUAAUGUGAUAAUGGCUGAU